rnacentral:rRNA from 1 species
GAGGAAGUAAAAGUCGUAACAAGGUCUCCGUUGGUGAACCAGCGGAGGGAUCAUUAUUAGAAGCCGAAAGGCUACUUAAAACCAUCGCGAACUCGUCCAAGUUGCUUCGGCGGCGCGGCCCCCCUCACGGGGGCGCCGCAGCCCCGCCUCUCCGGAGGUGUGGGGCGCCCGCCGGAGGUACGAAACUCUGUACUAUAGUGGCAUCUCUGAGUAAAAAACAAAUAAGUUAAAACUUUCAACAACGGAUCUCUUGGUUCUGGCAUCGAUGAAGAACGCAGCGAAAUGCGAUAAGUAAUGUGAAUUGCAGAAUUCAGUGAAUCAUCGAAUCUUUGAACGCACAUUGCGCCCGCUAGUACUCUAGCGGGCAUGCCUGUUCGAGCGUCAUUUCAACCCUCAAGCCCUGCUUGGUGUUGGGGCCCUACGGCUGCCGUAGGCCCUGAAAGGAAGUGGCGGGCUCGCUACAACUCCGAGCGUAGUAAUUCAUUAUCUCGCUAGGGACGUUGCGGCGCGCUCCUGCCGUUAAAGACCAUCUUUAACUCAAGGUUGACCUCGGAUCAGGUAGGAAUACCCGCUGAACUUAAGCAUAUCAAUAAGCGGAGGAAAAGAAACCAACAGGGAUUGCCCCAGUAACGGCGAGUGAAGCG